rnacentral:rRNA from 1 species
UACAGGGGGUGCAAACGUUGCUCGGAAUCAUUGGGCGUAAAGCGCACGCAGGCGGUUCGUUAUGUCGGAUGGGAAAGCCCUUGGCUUAACCGAGGAAGUGCAUCCGAAACUGGCGAGCUAGAGUACUAAAGAGGAUCGCGGAAUUCCCGGUGUAGAGGUGAAAUUCGUAGAUAUCGGGAGGAACACCGGUGGCGAAGGCGGCGAUCUGGGUAGAUACUGACGCUGAGGUGCGAAAGCGUGGGGAGCAAACAGG